rnacentral:rRNA from 1 species
GACGAACGCUGGCGGCGUGCUUAACACAUGCAAGUCGAACGGAAAGGCCCUGCUUGCAGGGUACUCGAGUGGCGAACGGGUGAGUAACACGUGGGUGAUCUGCCCUGCACUUCGGGAUAAGCUUGGGAAACUGGGUCUAAUACCGGAUAGGAGCCAUCUUUAGUGUGGUGGUUGGAAAGUUUUUUCGGUGUAGGAUGAGCUCGCGGCCUAUCAGCUUGUUGGUGGGGUAAUGGCCUACCAAGGCGGCGACGGGUAGCCGGCCUGAGAGGGUGUACGGCCACAUUGGGACUGAGAUACGGCCCAGACUCCUACGGGAGGCAGCAGUGGGGAAUAUUGCACAAUGGGCGGAAGCCUGAUGCAGCAACGCCGCGUGCGGGAUGACGGCCUUCGGGUUGUAAACCGCUUUCGCCUGUGACGAAGCGUGAGUGACGGUAAUGGGUAAAGAAGCACCGGCUAACUACGUG